rnacentral:rRNA from 1 species
UUGAACGCUGGCGGCAGGCCUAACACAUGCAAGUCGAGCGGUAGCACAGAGAGCUUGCUCUCGGGUGACGAGCGGCGGACGGGUGAGUAAUGUCUGGGAAACUGCCUGAUGGAGGGGGAUAACUACUGGAAACGGUAGCUAAUACCGCAUAAUGUCGCAAGACCAAAGUGGGGGACCUUCGGGCCUCAUGCCAUCAGAUGUGCCCAGAUGGGAUUAGCUAGUAGGUGGGGUAACGGCUCACCUAGGCGACGAUCCCUAGCUGGUCUGAGAGGAUGACCAGCCACACUGGAACUGAGACACGGUCCAGACUCCUACGGGAGGCAGCAGUGGGGAAUAUUGCACAAUGGGCGCAAGCCUGAUGCAGCCAUGCCGCGUGUGUGAAGAAGGCCUUCGGGUUGUAAAGCACUUUCAGCGGGGAGGAAGGCGUUAAGGUUAAUAACCUUGGCGAUUGACGUUACCCGCAGAAGAAGCACCGGCUAACUCCGUGCCAGCAGCCGCGGUAAUACGGAGGGUGCAAGCGUUAAUCGGAAUUACUGGGCGUAAAGCGCACGCAGGCGGUCUGUCAAGUCGGAUGUGAAAUCCCCGGGCUCAACCUGGGAACUGCAUUCGAAACUGGCAGGCUAGAGUCUUGUAGAGGGGGGUAGAAUUCCAGGUGUAGCGGUGAAAUGCGUAGAGAUCUGGAGGAAUACCGGUGGCGAAGGCGGCCCCCUGGACGAAGACUGACGCUCAGGUGCGAAAGCGUGGGGAGCAAACAGGAUUAGAUACCCUGGUAGUCCACGCCGUAAACGAUGUCGAUUUGGAGGUUGUGCCCUUGAGGCGUGGCUUCCGGAGCUAACGCGUUAAAUCGACCGCCUGGGGAGUACGGCCGCAAGGUUAAAACUCAAAUGAAUUGACGGGGGCCCGCACAAGCGGUGGAGCAUGUGGUUUAAUUCGAUGCAACGCGAAGAACCUUACCUGGUCUUGACAUCCACAGAACUUUCCAGAGAUGGAUUGGUGCCUUCGGGAACUGUGAGACAGGUGCUGCAUGGCUGUCGUCAGCUCGUGUUGUGAAAUGUUGGGUUAAGUCCCGCAACGAGCGCAACCCUUAUCCUUUGUUGCCAGCGGUUCGGCCGGGAACUCAAAGGAGACUGCCAGUGAUAAACUGGAGGAAGGUGGGGAUGACGUCAAGUCAUCAUGGCCCUUACGACCAGGGCUACACACGUGCUACAAUGGCAUAUACAAAGAGAAGCGACCUCGCGAGAGCAAGCGGACCUCAUAAAGUAUGUCGUAGUCCGGAUUGGAGUCUGCAACUCGACUCCAUGAAGUCGGAAUCGCUAGUAAUCGUAGAUCAGAAUGCUACGGUGAAUACGUUCCCGGGCCUUGUACACACCGCCCGUCACACCAUGGGAGUGGGUUGCAAAAGAAGUAGGUAGCUUAACCUUCGGGAGGGCGCUUACCACUUUGUGAUUCAUGACUGGGGUG